UGCGAGUGCAAACUUCAAACAGUGGCACUUGCUAAUGGUUUUUGGAUCACCUCGAAAGCCACAUACAAUCUGUGCUGUAAACGUCGAUAUACUAAUUACUAAACGAUCGGAAGUGGAUUAAUUAGUGUACCGGAGGUUUAUGCUACUUACACCGUAUGUUAUUUUAAACAUGUUUAAAGUAGUUCAGUUUAUAUAUUAGGGAAUUUAGUAUGCCAUUAUUUGAAGGAUAAAUCACUUUUACUUGACAGCUGCAAAACACGUUUGUGACCGUUGUGGAGUUUCUGCAGACGUUUUGCUGUACAGUUUGGAUUCGGGGAAAUUGCCUCUUGUGACUCAUUUCUAGCGGAUAUAUUUACGAACUUUCACGAGGAUUUUGAUAAGUGGUUUUUAGAAAACUACCUUUCGGGAUUGCCCAGACGGUGGAAUUUGAUACUAACAGAUUGUUCCGGCUGCCCUCGUCUCCGUGAAGGAGCUGGUACUUUCCCGUCAAUCUUAAGGACUGUCAUUGUUGUAAGUAAAUUUUCAACAUACCCAAAGAGCACUCAGCUGGUUUAGUGAAUAUCCCUUCCAGGCAUCGUUAAGGAAAAGGACCGAGACAGGUUUCGCAUUUCUAAGGUAAAUUAAUAGUAGUUCGUCGCUUUAUAUAUAAAUACGAGGUGAAAUUUCAUUAAUGUUAAGAGACCCGGAGCGAAAAUGUGUAAAUAACGAAGUAAGGUUGGGUAGGAGAUAAAAGAGAUACGGAUCAGAAGACUCGAGAUUCGUAUGUUGGUAAUGACGUAUUGGAUGAAUUUGAGUAUGAAAAUGUAUUCCCGUUCUCUUCGAAGAUUACCAUCGAUCCUAUUUCUCUUAUUUCGAAGAUUUUAAACAUCAUUAAAGAUUUAUGACGUGGCUUAAUUGAUAUUGGAUCUGUUUGUUGAUUUUAAAGUGAUAAUCACCUGCAGUUUUUCGCACUUCAGAUUA